UAUAAAAUUAUGGAAUUGGUCAGUACGACGGAGCUUGAGCCUGCGCUCCCUGCCUCCAGCAGCUGGCAAGAGGGCCGCUGCCUCCCCGGAGCUGGUGCGAGGACCGUCGCCACUCCAGCCUCCCCCCUUCCCCGCCGCCCCCGCGAGCUCUGGCUCGCGUGAUGCCUCCCGCCGCUUGCGCCAUUUCAGAACGCCGACGGAGGUGGAUGCGCUGAUCUUCUGUCCACUGGAUCAGCGGCCAUGGCGAUAGUGCGUGCUGGAGGGAUCCACAACGCUUCAUCCUCCUCCCGUGGGACAAGCUGGUGUAUCGACGCAAGCGCCUCGGGACGCCGGCGAGGAAGCUCUGCUCCGGCAGUUUGGCCGUGUCGCGAGCCUCCCAGAGUGGAUGGUCGACGCGCCUUCCCACCUCACCUCAAUUAAUCUCUUCCGGAGAAGCCUGCCCGAAAGAUCGCCCCCAUCCUAGGGAUCAUUCUUCCAUGGUGCUAUUUUUUUAAUGCCCCACUUAGGUGUAUGGUAUUGCUGAAUUCAUGAAAUCUAGUGGAAGUCCUGGAAUGCAUUUCCAGUAUGAUACCAAUUCAGACAAAAAAAUUCCUGCAUCUGACCUGCGAAUGAACCUUUCAGACAAAAUAACUGCAGGUGCUAUCAAUUUGUUUGUGGUAUCAACUAAACAUUAGACACAGGCGCUUAGUACCUCCUGCAGGUGUUCUGUAUGUUUGCGUGACUCCUGAUUGUCCAGUAACUGGUGUAUCACAAAUCAUGUUCUCGUCAUUAUCAGGGCUAGUUGACUGUUUUUUAAGUUCUCGUGCUUGUCGUCUGCGCUUGGCAAUUUCAUCUUUAUUCUUUGCAUAAUACUCUCUAUUACGUUGCCUCUUCAGCUCUUUAGGAUCUGCAUAUAUGGUACAACUUAAUCACCUCUAUUUAGCAACACCGCUUUGAACACAUUGACAGUUAAUCACCUUGGUUUUGCAUGUUUGCAAUGUCCGGAAAUGAGGCGCCGCUCAGAAUACACUGUUGGAAGCAAAAUAGGAGCAGUCACAUGAAAGCAAUCGAGCUUGUGACAACAAUGACUUCAGGAAGCACUACAAAACAUUAAGAGCUCGUGAUAGCAAAGAUGAUUUCAGGAACCAGAGGUAGAUUCUAAAUGAAUCUGGUUGUUGUAUAUAUUGCACAAUUCAUAGCUGUAUGGAGAAAACCAGGCGUAGAUGGUAAAAUGUAUCGGUGUAUUGGAAGAAACCUGGGAAUGUCCGGCGAGGAACGGCGGACGGCGUGGCAGCGGAGACAGGGGAGACAGGUUGAUUGGAACUCGGCGGGGGAAGUUGGCUUCGGGUGGCAGGAGCAACAGGGCGUCAGGUCGUUUAGAGCAUGGCGGCGUGUUCUCGUGGUCGACGACAGGGAGGUCGGCGUCGCGCAGCGGCAGCGUCGUGAGAGGGCGGCGGCGUGUCGCAGUUCCGGCGUAUUGGCAGUUCCCCCGUCCGCGUGAGCACGAAGAGGACGGUUUGGAGGAGUCAAUCAAAACUUGAUUAGCGGGAUUGUUUUCGUUUGAUUAGCGGGAUUGUUUUCUUUGAUUAGCGGGAAUGUUUAUUUUAGACAGACUUGAUUUACGGGAUUGCUUUAGCGUCCGGGCUGACAAUGUGUUUUAGAGAACAAUCAUUGUCCGGUGGAUGUGAUAUUGACGGUGUAAAUCAUUUGGAUCACCCCACUCUGUGUCUUUUAAUAGUAGUAGUGAUGACAAUGUGUUUUAGAGAACAA